CGUAGGGGGCGAGCGUUGUCCGAAGUUACUGGGCGUAAAGCGCACGUAGGCGGUUAUCUAAGUCUGGGGUGAAAGGUUCAGUGCUUAACGCGAACAGUGCCUUGGAGACUGGAUGACUUGAGUUUGGGAGAGGGUAGUGGAAUGGCUGGUGUAGCGGUGAAAUGCGUAGAUAUCAGUCGGAACACCAAUGGCGAAGGCAGCUACCUGGCCUAAAACUGACGCUGAGGUGCGAAAGCGUGGGGAGCGAACGGGAUUAGAUACCCCGGUAGUCCACGCCGUAAACGAUGAGUGCUAGGUGUCGGGGGUAUCGACCCCCCGGUGCCGUCGCUAACGCUUUAAGCACUCCGCCUGGGGAGUACGGCCGCAAGGUUG
rnacentral:rRNA from 1 species